AUGUGGAGGACGAUUAUCAUUAGAGACAGGACUCCAAGCUACACAUCCUGCUCAGUGUUCAGCUGGACCUGAAGAUGUGGAGUGUGAUUUCUGUAUUGAGAGUAAAUCCAAAGCCAUCAAGUCCUGCCUGGUGUGUCUGGCCUCUUUCUGUGAAACUCAUCUCCAGCUUCACUAUAAAUCUCCUGCCUUUAAGAAGCACAAGCUGGUCGAAGCCUCCAGACGACUUCAGGAUCAGAUCUGCUCUCAGCAUGACAAACUGCUGGAGGUUUACUGUCGCACUGACAGGCAGUGUAUCUGCAUGUAGUGUACUAUGGAUGAAAAUAAAGGACAUGAUACAGUAUCAGCUACAACAGGAAAAGCUGAGAAACAGAAGCAGUUGUUGGAGAAACAGGAAAUAUCCAAGCAGAGAAUCCAGGAUAGAGAGAAGGAGCUUCAGAAGCUGAGGAAGGCUGUUGAGACUCACAAGAUGUGUUUAGAGCAGAAAAAGCUGUUUCAGGUUCAGUUGCACCGCAUUUGACUAGUAGUUUAUAGAUUUAUGAAGUUAAUAUGUUUGUAUGCUGAUUAUACAAACAUAUUAAUGCUGAUGCUGUUAAUGUAGUGUAUCUCAUUGAACUGGGAGGAAGUGAUAGUUGAGUAGAUUACCCCAAGGUCACAAUUAGGAAUUUUAAGUUGAGGGGACAUUUUCUUUGGCUUUACUGGUUACAAAAGGCAUUUCAGGAAACUGAAUGGAUCUUUAACUAUAUUAUCAAAGCCAUUGAGAGAAGACGCUCUGAGGUGACAGCACUGUUCAGCGCUCAGGAGGAAGCUGCAGUGAGUCAAGCUGGGAAAGUCAUGAAGCAACUGGAGCAGGAGAUUGAAGAGAAGAGACACUGAGAUAGAGGAACUUUCACACAGAGAAGAUCCCAUCCAGUACCUUCAGUCUGUCUCGACCCUCACUGGACCUUCAGACCCACCCGUCAUCACGAUCAAUUCUCUCCUAACCACUGAGGGUGUAGUAAAGUCUGUAAAACACCUAAAAAAGAAAGUAGAAGAAAGCUGUAAUGCUGAAUUUAAGAAGAUAUCAAGUAGAGGUCCUUGCAAAUGGGAGAAACCUGAAGAUCUCUGUAUACUGACACUCUACAGCGCUCCUCAGCCUACAGACUCUCUCUCUCUCUCUCUCUCUCUCUCUCUCUCUCUCUCUCUAUCUAUCUAUCUAUCUAUCUAUCUAUCUAACUAACUAUGUUAGGAAAUGUGGAUCUGAAAACCAUCUCCACACUUUUAUAAUUUGAUCCCCCAGGUUUAUUAAGGUCUUCUUGUAAUAACUUUCCAUAAGUAUUUAAAGCAGUUGGUUCACCAAGGUGUAAUAAUGUAUUUUGCCAAAAUAAAAAAAAAAGGUUUCUUAUAGCUUUAUUUUUUAUUUUUAGUUGUAUUCAUUUAGGUGACAAAAUAUUUUGUUUUUGCUGUAAUGCGGUUGAUCAGUAUUGUAUCUGUAAUCUGUAUCUGUAAUCAGUAUUGUUGUACAAUUUCUUUGUAUUGAUUCACAUGUUCUACUAAAAAUAUACAAUAAAAUGUCAGCUGUGAUUUCCAA